CCUACGGGAGGCAGCAGUGGGGAAUAUUGGGCAAUGGAGGAAACUCUGACCCAGCGACGCCGCGUGCGGGAUGAAGGCCUUCGGGUUGUAAACCGCUUUCAGUAGGGAAGAAGCGAAAGUGACGGUACCUACAAAAGAAGCACCGGCUAACUAUGUGCCAGCAGCCGCGGUAAUACAUAGGGUGCAAGCGUUGUCCGGAAUUAUUGGGCGUAAAGAGCUCGUAGGUCGUUUGUUACGUCGGAUGUGAAAACCUGAGGCUCAACCUCAGGCCUGCAUUCGAUACGGGCAAACUAGAGUUUGGUAGGGGAGACUGGAAUUCCUGGUGUAGCGGUGGAAUGCGCAGAUAUCAGGAGGAACACCAAUGGCGAAGGCAGGUCUCUGGGCCAAUACUGACACUGAGGAGCGAAAGUCUGGGGAGCGAACAGGAUUAGAUACCCUGGUAGUCCAGACCGUAAACGGUGGGCACUAGUUGUGGGAACCUUCCACGGUUUCUGCGACGCAGCUACGACAUUAAGUCGCCCGCCGUCGGGUAGGUACGAGUCGCGAAGAAUUAAAACUAACAAAGUAAGUAGUAGACGCGAGAGACGUCGACGACGACGACGACGGAGGAGAG
rnacentral:rRNA from 1 species